AGCGAACGCUGGCGGCAGGCUUAACACAUGCAAGUCGAGCGGGCCUUUCGGGGUCAGCGGCGGACGGGUGAGUAACGCGUGGGAACGUGCCCUCUGGUUCGGAAUAACUCAGGGAAACUUGAGCUAAUACCGGAUACGCCCUUUUGGGGAAAGGCUUGCUGCCGGAGGAUCGGCCCGCGUCUGAUUAGCUAGUUGGUGAGGUAACGGCUCACCAAGGAGACGAUCAGUAGCUGGUCUGAGAGGAUGAUCAGCCACACUGGGACUGAGACACGGCCCAGACUCCUACGGGAGGCAGCAGUGGGGAAUAUUGGACAAUGGGCGCAAGCCUGAUCCAGCCAUGCCGCGUGAGUGAUGAAGGCCUUAGGGUUGUAAAGCUCUUUUAUCCGGGACGAUAAUGACGGUACCGGAGGAAUAAGCCCCGGCUAACUUCGUG
rnacentral:rRNA from 1 species